rnacentral:rRNA from 1 species
AUUGAACGCUGGCGGCAGGCCUAACACAUGCAAGUCGAACGAGUGGCGGACGGGUGAGUAAUGUCUGGGAAACUGCCUGAUGGAGGGGGAUAACUACUGGAAACGGUAGCUAAUACCGCAUACCAUCAGAUGUGCCAAGCUGGGCUUAGCUAGUUGGUGGGGUAUCGGUUCACCAAGGCGACGAUCCCUAGUUGGUCUGAGAGGAUGACCGGCCACACUGGAACUGAGACACGGGCCAGCCGCCUACGGGAGGAAGCAGUGGGGAAUAUUGCACAAUGGGCGCAAGCCUGAUGCAGCCAUGCCGCGUGUAUGAAGAAGGCCUUCGGGUUGUAAAGUACUUUCAGCGGGGAGGCGUUACCCGCAGAAGAAGCACCGGCUAACUCCGUGUCAGCAGCCGCGGUAAUUC